rnacentral:rRNA from 1 species
GACAGAGGUGCCGAGCGUUAGGCGGAAUCACUGGGCUUAAAGCGCGCGUAGGCGGCUUUGCAAGUCGGGUGUGAAAUCCCCAGGCUUAACCUGGGAACUGCAUUCGAGACUGCAUUGCUAGAGUAUGGGAGAGGGAAGUGGAAUUUCCGGUGUAGCGGUGAAAUGCGUAGAUAUCGGAAGGAACAUCAGUGGCGAAAGCGACUUCCCGGACCAAUACUGACGCUCAUGUGCGAAAGCGUGGGGAGCAAACAGG